rnacentral:rRNA from 1 species
UACGUAGGGUGCGAGCGUUGUCCGGAAUUAUUGGGCGUAAAGGGCUCGUAGGCGGUCUGUCGCGUCGGGAGUGAAAACUCAGGGCUUAACCCUGAGCCUGCUUCCGAUACGGGCAGACUAGAGGUAUGCAGGGGAGAAUGGAAUUCCUGGUGUAGAGGUGAAAUUCGUAGAUAUCGAGAGGAACACCGGUGGCGAAGGCGGCUUUCUGGACGAUAACUGACGCUGAGACGCGAAAGCGUGGGGAGCAAACAGG